CUUCUAGUGUUUGUAAAUUUAAUAAAUGAAAUACACUUGCCAUUACUAAUCAUAAGUUAAAAAAAAAGCUGAUGUAAGAUUAAGGUUAGAAGUGACUGUCCUAUAUGUGCUUACACAUAUAAAGUGGAAUUCAAGAGAAGUUAAAAGAUACAUGAGAAAUUAUAUGGGAGAGAAUAUGAAGAAUAAGGUUAGACUUGAUGAAAAAAAAAAACCUGAUCACUUUUUGGAUAAGUUGCACUUGUAAAUUAAACCUUUAUGAGGACAUUUUGGGGAAUGGGGUAAAGUGAUAUUAAAAAAAACCACCCAAAACUCCCAAUAUAAUAAAGCAUAAUUCAAAUAGGUUU
rnacentral:lncRNA from 1 species